rnacentral:snRNA from 1 species
AUACCUUUCUUGGCCUUUAGGCUAAGAUAAAAUGUAGUAUCUAUUUUUAUCAGUUUAAUAUCUGAUAUAUGGGCUAUUGGCUCACACAAUAUUAACUCUAUCAUAUUUU